AGUUUUGGCCUAUAUUGGCCAGUUUUGUAUGCUAUUAGUCACUGAUUUUGGGUCCUGCUGCGAUCCGAACGUUUUGGGAACCCCGGGGUCUGGUUACGGGGAACUCGUAAAAACUCGUAGUUUUGGUCUAUUCCAGCCAGUUUUGUANGCUAUUACUCACUGAUUUUGGGUCCCGCUGUGAUCCAAACGUUUCCGGACCCUCGAGGUCCGGUUAUGGGGAACUCGUCAAAACUCGCAGUUUUGGCAUAUUUUGGCUAGUUCUGUAUGCUAUUCCUCACUGAUUUUGGAUCCCGCUGCGAUCCGAACGUUUCGGGAACCCCGAGGUCUAGUUACGGGGAACUGGUCAAAACUCGCAGUUUUGGCCUGUUUUGGACACGUUUGUAUGCUAUUAGUCACUUAUUUUGGGUCCUCCUGCAAUCCAAACAUUUUGGGAACCCCGGGGUCCAGUUACGCACAACUCGUCAAAACUCACAGUUUUGGCUUAUUUCGGCAUGUUUUCU
rnacentral:lncRNA from 1 species